AAUUGAACUCGCUGUGAAGAUGCAGUGUACCCGCGGCAAGACGGAAAGACCCCGUGAACCUUUACUAUAGCUUGACACUGAACAUUGAGCCUUGAUGUGUAGGAUAGGUGGGAGGCUUUGAAGUGUGGACGCCAGUCUGCAUGGAGCCGACCUUGAAAUACCACCCUUUAAUGUUUGAUGUUCUAACGUUGACCCGUAAUCCGGGUUGCGGACAGUGUCUGGUGGGUAGUUUGACUGGGGCGGUCUCCUCCUAAAGAGUAACGGAGGAGCACGAAGGUUGGCUAAUCCUGGUCGGACAUCAGGAGGUUAGUGCAAUGGCAUAAGCCAGCUUGACUGCGAGCGUGACGGCGCGAGCAGGUGCGAAAGCAGGUCAUAGUGAUCCGGUGGUUCUGAAUGGAAGGGCCAUCGCUCAACGGAUAAAAGGUACUCCGGGGAUAACAGGCUGAUACCGCCCAAGAGUUCAUAUCGACGGCGGUGUUUGGCACCUCGAUGUCGGCUCAUCACAUCCUGGGGCUGAAGUAGGUCCCAAGGGUAUGGCUGUUCGCCAUUUAAAGUGGUACGCGAGCUGGGUUUAGAACGUCGUGAGACAGUUCGGUCCCUAUCUGCCGUGGGCGCUGGAGAACUGAGGGGGGCUGCUCCUAGUACGAGAGGACCGGAGUGGACGCAUCACUGGUGUUCGGGUUGUCAUGCCAAUGGCACUGCCCGGUAGCUAAAUGCGGAAGAGAUAAGUGCUGAAAGCAUCUAAGCACGAAACUUGCCCCGAGAUGAGUUCUCCCUGACUCCUUGAGAGUCCUGAAGGAACGUUGAAGACGACGACGUUGAUAGGCCGGGUGUGUAAGCGCAGCGAUGCGUUGAGCUAACCGGUACUAAUGAACCGUGAGGCUUAACCUUACAACGCCGAAG
rnacentral:rRNA from 1 species